rnacentral:rRNA from 1 species
CCUACGGGAGGCAGCAGUGGGGAAUCUUGCACAAUGGGCGAAAGCCUGAUGCAGCAACGCCGCGUGCGGGAAGAAGGCCCUAGGGUUGUAAACCGCUUUCAGCAGGGAAGAAACUGACGGUACCUGUAGAAGAAGGUGCGGCCAACUACGUGCCAGCAGCCGCGGUGACACGUAGGCACCAAGCGUUGUCCGGAUUUAUUGGGCGUAAAGAGCUCGUAGGCGGUUCGGUAAGUCGGGUGUGAAAACUCUGGGCUCAACCCAGAGCCGCCACCCGAUACUGCUGUGACUCGAGUGCGGUAGGGGAGCGGGGAAUUCCUGGUGUAGCGGUGAAAUGCGCAGAUAUCAGGAGGAACACCAGUGGCGAAGGCGCCGCUCUGGGCCGUGACUGACGCUGAGGAGCGAAAGCGUGGGUAGCAAACAGGAUUAGAUACCCUUGUAGU